GAGAUUGUAGUUCAAUUGGUUAGAACACCACCCUAUCAAGACGUAAGUUGUGGCUUCGAGCCCUAUCAAUCCCA
rnacentral:tRNA from 1 species